rnacentral:rRNA from 1 species
AACGAACGCUGGCGGCGUGGAUUAGGCAUGCAAGUCGAACGCGAAAGAGGGGGUAACUCCUCGAGUAGAGUGGCGAACGGGUGAGUAACACGUGAGAAACCUGCCUUCAGCAGGGGGAUAACACUCCCAACGGGGUGCUAAUACCGCAUGAGACCACGGAUUCGCAUGGAUCUGGGGUCAAAGGUGGCCUCUGCUUGCAAGCUACCGGCUGAAGAUGGUCUCGCGCCCAUUAGCUAGUUGGUGGGGUAAUGGCCCACCAAGGCGACGAUGGGUAGCUGGUCUGAGAGGAUGGUCAGCCACACUGGGACUGAGAUACGGCCCAGACUCCUACGGGAGGCAGCAGUCGAGAGGCUUU